rnacentral:rRNA from 1 species
GCGCACGGGUGAGUAACACGUGGAUAACCUGCCCUAGAGUCUGGGAUAACACUUCGAAAGGGGUGCUAAUACCGGAUAAGCCUACGCUCUCUUCGGAGGAAGUAGGAAAAGAUUUAUUGCUCUAGGAUGGGUCCGCGGUCCAUUAGCUAGUUGGUGGGGUAAUGGCCUACCAAGGCGACGAUGGAUAGCUGGUCUGAGAGGAUGAUCAGCCACACUGGAACUGAGACACGGUCCAGACUCC